GGGCGCGAAGACGGGGUCUGGGGCAGAAAAGAAGGGAGGCUGGAGAAAUCUGGACCCGAGACGUAGUAAGUACAACUUGGCAAAUACAUGUUAGAGGAGCAGGGACCACGCUCAUCAAAAUCCAUCAUUGGGCUACCUUGGGCUCUCCGCAGUAGCCGAGCUUAACAUGAUUCUCCACUGCAGCUGCCUCUUUGAAGCGGAUCCGUGAAGUAGAAAUUUGGAGACGUAAGCUGACGUGGAAAUCUAUCCCCAUCCUUAGCAGGGAGGUGCUGGUCAUGUGACCCGAUGUUGAAAUUGACAAGCUGCGAGCUAGUCCGGGCCUUUUUUUCCCCCUCCUUUCCUUUUUUUUUUUUUUCCUCCCCUCCCCUCCCUCCCGGCUUCCUUUCUUUGUAGCCACCUCAGGGGAAGCAACAGAUCGUCACUCGGUGUUCUCACCGAAAGCACGUAAUCGCCGGUGUAACUCAUGUUCGCUGGGGGCCUCCCGGCGCGCGGAGAGGCUGGGGUGCGCCCUCAUGCAGCAUGCUUGUGCUCAAUUGCAGGGUCCUGGUUCUCGAGUGUGCAGAGGGCGGUGAGAGCUCAACUCUCGUGCCCACCUCCCACCCGCAGCUCUCCGGGUGGGUGAGGGGUGCCCUGGACUGGGGAUAGCCAGGUGGGAGCCCGUCGCUGUGUGGCUUGUGGUCUCGGAGUCUGUUCUCCUGGAGGCUCGCAUUUGCACCCCGUUCUUCGCAGUCCCCCUCCCAUAGACUUGCUCUGGGAAGCGCCUCUGCCUCCGACCCUAGCCGGCACCCCUUCGGGGCCAGAGUUUGAAGCCGUGGAUGUGCCUGCCUCGUGGCUUGUCCGAUUUGCACGGUGACUUGAUUACACUCUCUCAUUCAUGGUCACUUCCGAAGCGCUUUAGUGCCUUCCGUCCCUAAACCGCCCACAGCCAGAACGGCUUCUCCCCGCGGUUUGUCACUGAUCCGCAGGGCCCAGAAGGGCCUUCGUCUUACCCGGGAUCCACCUCUCCCCUCAUCUUCCCUGCCUGCCUCCUCAUCCCACCUUCUGUCCUUGGAGAAACCCCCUCCUCCUCGCUGCCUGCCGGGCUUCGGAGUGACUCGGCAGAGACAGAGGUACAGGGGCUGCCCCGCUGCUCACCGGUCCACCCAUCUGCCUGGUCUUCUGGAGCUGAGGACGCGGGAAACCAUGCAAUUGAGGCAACCCUUGGGCUGCUUUAGAGGCGCUGACAUCCGAGGAGCCUUCUCCUGGGAUUGAAGGAGCAAUGUUUGGAGGAAGCGAAAGAAGGGAGAGGACACAGAGCAGCCAGGCAGGGCCAGGAGCUGAGAGGGGCCCAGACCUGAGGCCUCCCAACAACUCUCUUCUUGCAAGGAUCUGGAGUGUUGCUGAAGGAAAAUAAAAGAUAUAUAAAAAG